rnacentral:lncRNA from 1 species
AGCAUGUGAUCCACAACUACAUGACGCAGGCGGCAGGCUUCAAAUUAACAUAAGUAAUAUAAUAGUAUACCUCAUUGACCCAGUAAGAAUUGAGGACCCUAAGGCCACCAAGUUUCCUACCAGCACGCUCCUCAGCAACUGACCUCUUCGAACGCUGAAACUUGAGUUGAGUAACUCCCUGGUUUGUGGGUUUACCAUAGACAAUACCUUUGGGAACUGGUCUCUUCCUGCCACCCCUCCGAACGCGAACACGGUAAACAACAUAACCCUAGAAAGUGAUCACAAUCAUUACUAAACCAUAACAAAUGAGGCAAGGACAAGCAGCUCAACAAGGGCAUACCAGUUAUGCAAUUAUACAGCUAUGUAUUUAUCGAAAGGUAUAACCGGCUAUGCAAUUACUAAACCAUUACAAGAUCACUGCAAAAUAAAUGGUAUACCUCUAGCAGAGGAAAAAGAUGUGUACAAGCCCACAAGAAACAAAUUAUGAGAGAAGAAACAGAAGAAAAAUGUCUUACUUGCUUAGCUUUGUAACCCAAACGACGAGCCUUGUCCGGGCGAGUAGGCCUUGUCAGGCGAACAAUGGAAGGUUGCUGCCUAUACUCCCAGCACCUUACUCGCUGCAAGAAUCGCAUGACAUCGGACUGUUUCUUGCGCCAAAGCUCAGAGACAUACUUAUAGGCACCUAUUGUCAAUCAGAACAACAAAACAAAAUCAAACAUUAUAUCAAAGUAAAACAAAAAAUUGAUGCAUAGUUAAUGUAUCAAAAUGCUUAAUAGAAUGCAUAAUAAAUUGGUUCGCCAAAUAAUAAUUGGGCAUUGUACUUUUAAACAACUACGCAAGUACGCAUGACAUUAGCUUUCAAAAAUUUAAUAGUACUCCAGAUUCUGAAAUCUAACAAAAUAGAAGUAGGUUCUCCAAGCUGAGUAAGAAUUGCAUGGUACAUGCCAGUGAAAAGCAAUAACAUUUCAACCACCACGAAAAUAGAACACAAAAAUGACAUUGGUCUAUUUAAAAAAUGAAAAAUAUAUAUUUAAAACUAUGAUCCCAAAAACAAAUCUUAGUGCUAGUUGAAGACAGAAAACUAUUUUUUCUUAUUAUGGCUUUUACACUAAAACCCUGAACCCUCUUAAGGUUGCAAAUCAAAAUAAAGAAGCAUAAGUUAGCUUAUAAUUCAUAUCAGCUUAUCAUAUACCAAAAUGAAUUUUCAGCUAAGUCGACAGCUUAUUACUCUAUUAUUACAUUAGUUGAUAGACAAAUUAUGAAUCCAAAUUUAAUCUACGAAUAAAGAAUUAAAAAACAAAGAAUGCUUUAUAUUAAAAAUGCAUAUCAAAUUAAAACGAAUAGAUUGAUGAAUGGAACUAAAAAACGGAAAACAGAACAUAACAAGAGAUUGAAAGAGUGAGAGACACAGUACCCAUUGCGCAGUCACGUAAGUUGAAGCUCAACGCACCAAAUAAGAGAAAGGUAGGGUUUGUAUGUGUUACUACAUUUUAUAGAAGCGCCACUAUUUAAUGGGCUUCUAACAUGUCUUUGGGCUGGGCCCAUGCUUUCUGUUUUUCUUCACUAACUAGUAACUUUUAAAUUAGGUUAACACAAUUAUUAUUAUUUAAUUAAAAUAAAAUAAAAACAAUACAUAAGUUUUUUAUGUUUGUUUUUGUUAGAGGGUAGGAGGGAAAGAGAAUGCUUUAUAGUUAUUAAAUAUACUUGUAAAAUAAUUUUACUUUUUUUUUAUUAUUUUUCUCUUCAAAAAUCAAUUCGUAAAUAAAACCCUCAUUAUAAAACUUUUAAGGAGGAGAUGAGUGUAGAAAGUAUAGCUACUAAAUUUCUACUUUUAAAUUAUUUUUAUUUUUAAUUUACUUUCAUAAGUUUUUUGCUUUAUUUUGGUCUUAUCAAAUCAUUUUUCAUAAGUUGCUGAGCCAGGUUCAAAUUUUUAAAUGGCAGCAUGAGCAACAUCCACCAAAAUUAUCUCAAAGUAUUUGUAAGUGGAAUCCUGAAAAAACAUAUUCCGGUACGAGAAUAAGCAUGUGAUCCACAACUACAUGACGCAGGCGGCAGGCUUCAAAUUAACAUAAGUAAUAUAAUAGUAUACCUCAUUGACCCAGUAAGAAUUGAGGACCCUAAGGCCACCAAGUUUCCUACCAGCACGCUCCUCAGCAACUGACCUCUUCGAACGCUGAAACUUGAGUUGAGUAACUCCCUGGUUUGUGGGUUUACCAUAGACAAUACCUUUGGGAACUGGUCUC